rnacentral:lncRNA from 1 species
AUUUUAAACAGCAAAUGGGCCGGACUGUAUCAGGGACGUUCGUACGUCCUAAAGACGUUCGUACGUCGGGACCCAAAAACGCAAACAUCUGUCAGACCUACGUUCGUACGUUCUAAUAACGUUCGUACGUUGGUUAUAGAUCUGCCCACCUCAACGUUCGGACGUCAUGAAAGCGUUCGUACGACCCCCUUUUUUUUUUUUUUUUUUUUUUUUUUUUUUUUUUGUUUAAAAUAAACCACAUAACCCGAAAAAGAAACAGAUAUUGAGAGACAUCACAAGAAAACACUUUUACGUAUCAUACGAAUUCCAAUUACAACCGAGUAUAGUUUAAACAAACCUCAACCACAAGAGAAUGCAAAAUCGAAGAACGACAUCAUACCCCAUGACAUGGUAGUUACUAGAAUGAUGCAAGUAUGUAGAAGAACCUGAUAGACCAAAACCAACCUCCGAAGAACAAACUAAAGACAUGAUCAUAGAGAAUAUUGAGGGUUACUUGAAACUCACCAAAAACACACACUAUUGUUUUUCUUUUUGUCCUUCAACUAGACAAAUGCGAAAGCCGCUAGUCAUUCAUUCAUUUUUUUUUUUUUUUUUUUUUUUUUUUUUU